rnacentral:rRNA from 1 species
CAGUCGAACGAAGCCUUCGGGCUUAGUGGCGCACGGGUGCGUAACGCGUGGGAAUCUGCCCUUGGGUUCGGAAUAACGUCGGGAAACUGACGCUAAUACCGGAUAAUAUCGCGAGAUCAAAGAUUUAUCGCCUGAGGAUGAGCCCGCGUAGGAUUAGCUAGUUGGUGGGGUAAAGGCCUACCAAGGCGACGAUCCUUAGCUGGUCUGAGAGGAUGAUCAGCCACACUGGGACUGAGACACGGCCCAGACUCCUACGGGAGGCAGCAGUGGGGAAUAUUGGACAAUGGGCGCAAGCCUGAUCCAGCAAUGCCGCGUGAGUGACGAAGGCCUUAGGGUUGUAAAGCUCUUUUACCCGGGAUGAUAAUGACAGUACCGGGAGAAUAAGCCCCGGCUAACUCCGUGCCAGCAGCCGCG